AUGCAGCUGGCAUCAGCCAGAAAUAGAGAGAUAGACAGAGAGAGAGAAGGAAGGACACGGGGACCCAAGUCUCUGGUGGAACAAGGGUGUUUUAUUGAAUUCUGUGUGAGUAUAUAUAACAUCUUACAAGGUAGCUUCUUCAAGAUAACAAUCUCAAAGAAGGUCUAUGCCAAAGAAUGCUCAAACUACUGCACAAUUACACUCAUCUCACAUGCCAGUAAAGUCAUGCUCAAAAUUCUCCAAGCCAGGCUUCAGCAAUAUGUGAACCGUGAACUUCCUGAUGUUCAAGCUGGUUUUAGAAAAGGCAGAGGAACCAGAGAUCAAAUUGCCAACAUCUGCUGGAUCAUCGAAAAAGCAAGAGAGUUCCAGAAAAACAUCUAUUUCUGCUUUAGUGACUAUGCCAAAGCCUUUGACUGUGUGGAUCACAAUCAACUGUGGAAAAUUCUUCAAGAGAUGGGAAUACCAGACUACCUGACCUGCCUCUUGAGAAAUCUGUAUGCAGGUCAGGAAGCAACAGUUAGAACUGGACAUGGAACAACAGACUGGUUUCAAAUAGGAAAAAGAGUACAUCAAGGCUGUAUAUUGUCACCCUGCUUAUUUAAUUUAUAUGCAGAAUACAUCAUGAGAAAUGCUGGACUAGAAGAAAUACAAGCUGGAAUCAAGAUUGCCAGGAGAAAUAUCAAUAACCUCAGAUAUGCAGAUGAUACCACCCUUAUGGCAGAAAGUGAAGAGGAACUCAGAAGCCUCUUGAUGAAAGUAAAAGAGGAGAGUGAAAAAGUUGGCUUAAAGCUCAACAUUCAGAAAACAAAGAUCAUGGCAUCUGGUCCCAUCACUUCAUGGGAAAUAGAUGGGGAAACAGUGGAAACAGUGUCAGACUUUUUUUGGGGGAGUGGCUCCAAACUCACUGCAGAUGGUGACUGCAGCCAUGAAAUCAAACGACACUUUCUCCUUGGAAGGAAAGUUAUGACCAACCUAGAUAGCAUAUUCAAAAGCAGAGACAUUACUUUGCCGACUGAGGUCCGUCUAGUCAAGGCUAUGGUUUUUCCUGUGGUCAUGUAUGGAUGUGAGAGUUGGACUGUGAAGAAGGCUGAGUGCUGA
rnacentral:lncRNA from 1 species